rnacentral:rRNA from 1 species
AUACGUAGGUGACAAGCGUUAUCCGGAUUUACUGGGCGUAAAGGGCGUGUAGGCGGUCUUGCAAGUCAGAAGUGAAAUUCCUGAGCUCAACUCGGGCGCUGCUUCUGAAACUGCAGGACUUGAGUGCUGGAGGGGAUAGCGGAAUUCCUAGUGGAGCGGUAAAAUGCGCAGAUAUUAGGAAGAACACCGGUGGCGAAGGCGGCUAUCUGGACAGUAACUGACGCUGAGGAGCGAAAGCGUGGGGAGCAAACAGGAUUAGAUCCCCUGGUAGUCCACACUGUAAACGAUGAAUGCUAGGUGUAGGGGGUAUCGCCCCCUUCUGUGCCGCAGUUAACACAAUAAGCAUUCCGCCUGGGGAGUACGGCCGCAAGGUUGAAACUCAAAUGAAUUGACGGGG